rnacentral:rRNA from 1 species
CAAGCGUUGUUCGGAUUCAUUGGGCGUAAAGGGUGCGUAGGUGGCGGGGCAAGUCAGGUGUGAAAUCUCGGGGCUCAACCCCGAAACUGCACUUGAUACUGCCUUGCUCGAGUACUGGAGAGGAGACUGGAAUUUACGGUGUAGCAGUGAAAUGCGUAGAUAUCGUAAGGAAGACCAGUGGCGAAGGCGAGUCUCUGGACAGUUACUGACACUGAGGCACGAAGGCCAGGGGAGCAAACGGG